CAAUCCCAUGCUGAUCCCUAGUCCGACCUCCAGUCGGCAUGCUGGCCUUACUUUAGGAGCAGACGUAACCAAUCAGCAGCCUCGGCGGUCAUGCUACAUACUUCAGACAUCAUGGCUCCAAUCACUGAGUGGUUAUGCCUGGAAUAUGGAGGGUGACUGCUGAGGCUGCUGAUUGACUGCGGCGGUCACAUGACUCAUGGUUGUGACGCUGUGAUUCCUGCGGCGGACACCAGACUGAAAUCCAACAGACCCCAAUAAAGUUCAUGGGGUUUCUCCUCCAUUUAUUCGUGAACAAAACCUGCAACAGAGGUCCUGAACGAAGCCUCCAUCACAGACGUGAACAUGGCCUAAGAAAGAGUAAACUAAACCCAGACGUUCUAAGGCUGAAUUGGAAACAUUAUACGAAAAAGCAAUGUCAAGAAUGAGAUCAGCAGUAACAAUGGAAAAAAAGAAAAUCCUAGAUGGAAGAUCCACCCUUUCCAACUUCUUUUUUUAUUGUUUCUAUGCGUCCGGAGUAAAAAAAAAAUAAAAAAAAAUAUGCAAA